GACGGAGGAUGCAAGCGUUAUCCGGAAUGAUUGGGCGUAAAGCGUCCGCAGGUGGCAGUUCAAGUCUGCUGUCAAAGACCGGGGCUUAACUUCGGAAAGGCAGUGGAAACUGAACAGCUAGAGUAUGGUAGGGGCAGAGGGAAUUCCUGGUGUAGCGGUGAAAUGCGUAGAGAUCAGGAAGAACAUCGGUGGCGAAGGCGCUCUGCUGGACCAUAACUGACACUCAGGGACAAAAGCUAGGGGAGCGAAUGGG
rnacentral:rRNA from 1 species